rnacentral:lncRNA from 1 species
CAACCCUGACCCAUGAUACCUGUUAGACCAGUUUACACUUUACUACUGCAUGGUCUCUGUAGAAGAGGGGACACGACAGAUUGUGUGCCCACUCUUUUUAUUCAAAAUAUGCAGUCAGCUGGCCUAUUGAUUUAAGUAAUAAACAGUUUCAAUACACAUUAGUAGGUAAACUGGUCUAUGCUGGCAGAAACUGUGCUGCUCUGUUUCUAAUCCAGGUGGGUUCACCUCUCCAUAGGCAAUGUGAUGACCUGAGCUCUCUUAGAAUCACCAGACUGAUACCAAAUGUAUUGUGGAAACCUGACUGGCCCAGCUUACUACAGCCCUGGAGCUCAUGGACACACACCUGUCUCUUAAGCAGCUGGGAUUAUAGGCAUGGGCCACCACGCCCAGGUUUCUCCUUUGAGAUUGAUGAAAAUUGCCAGUGCUGAGUAUAUUUCUAGUCACAAGGGAAAGAUAUCAGGAACAAUUUUCACUAAGCAAAUACCAUGCCUUAGAUUAACCUUGUCAGUGAAGACUCUACCACUGCGUGAACACACAGCUCAUUCUGCUACCUCUGUGAAACAGAUGAGGUUGGAAUCAACAAUGGGAAAAAUAAAGCACCUUUAAAAAGUGAGGGAGAUGUUGAAUCCAAACUGCAUACUAAAUAUAAGAACUUUGCCUUCACAUAGGUCAGUAUGGUGAAAUCUGGCUAUCAGAAAUGGAGUUUAGUCUAAGGCAGAUUUACCCAUACACAGGAGAAGAUCUAUAACAACUGUGGUGUUCCAUUAACUGCUUCUCCACGUACUCUCAAUGUACCACAGGACUGCAUUUCAGACAGGUCUGAAAGAACCCUUCAGAUGGAAGUCAUGAAGAUCUUUAUUUAUACUUCCUCAAAUCCUUGUUUUAGGUAAUAUUUUUCGUAUCUUUCCCUAUGCUUAAUACAUAUCUGUCAGCCUUAUUAACUGAAAGUAUAUUGCUGUUCCAAUUAUCUACUUUGCUUUACGUGUAGGGGUUUUAACUUCUGGUCUAAUUUAGGAAUGUUCAGAAAUUAUAUCUUAAGUCAGGAGCUAGAUCCCUCAAUUUUUCAGGGGUGUUCUGUUGGGCUUUUGUUAUCAAGCAUGUUAUAAUCAGAGUUACUUGUAAGAAACUCACUGUUUGCUACUCUGCAGAGAGCUUUACACAGGCAGUUAAUUGCAUGUGGUCACGUGCAGUAUCAGGGCCUAGUGGUUUUGUGUGUGGAUUAUUUAUUUAUUUAUUUAUUUAUUUUAUUUUAUUUUUCCUGUCAAGUCAAUUCACAGUUGCAGGCAACUGAGAUUUAGUAUUUUGAUUAGGGGUUUUCCUUAUUUUUCUCCUUUUGAGUCUGUGAUGAAAGAAGCUCUCAGAUCCGCCCUUGUAUUUUUGUCCCAAUGAAGUGGAGCUUCCUAUGGCAUUUUCUUUGCUCCAGAGCUAUUCAUCACUAACACUGUGUUGAUAAUGUGAUGACAGUUGUUGCCAAAACUUUCCUGUUCACCCUAAAUCUUUUUUUUUUUAUUAUUAUUAUUUUCUUUUUCUUGGUAUGAAAAUAAAGAUACAAAACUCAGCA